UUGGGCGUAAAGAGCUCGUAGGCGGUUUGUCGCGUCUGCUGUGAAAUCCGGAGGCUCAACCUCCGGCCUGCAGUGGGUACGGGCAGACUAGAGUGCGGUAGGGGAGAUUGGAAUUCCUGGUGUAGCGGUGGAAUGCGCAGAUAUCAGGAGGAACACCGAUGGCGAAGGCAGAUCUCUGGGCCGUAACUGACGCUGAGGAGCGAAAGGGUGGGGAGCAAACAGGCUUAGAUACCCUGGUAGUCCACCCCGUAAACGUUGGGAACUAGUUGUGGGGUCCAUUCCACGGAUUCCGUGACGCANCUAACGCAUUAAGUU
rnacentral:rRNA from 1 species